GGACCCGCACAAGUAGUGGAGCAUGUGGUUUAAUUCGAAGAUACGCGCAGAACCUUACCAACACUUGACAUGUUCGUCGCGACUCUGAGAGAUCAGAGUUUUCGGUUCGGCCGGACGAAACACAGGUGCUGCAUGGCUGUCGUCAGCUCGUGUCGUGAGAUGUUGGGUUAAGUCCCGCAACGAGCGCAACCCUCACUUUUAGUUGCCAUCAUUAAGUUGGGCACUCUGAAAGAACUGCCAGUGAUAAGCUGGAGGAAGGUGGGGAUGACGUCAAGUCCUCAUGGCCCCUUACGUGUUGGGCUACACACGUGCUACAAUGAUAUCUACACAGGAAGCAAAACGGCGACGUUAAG
rnacentral:rRNA from 1 species